GCAAUAACAAUGCAGGUUCGACCCUUCCUGGCAUCAUCCAAGGCUUUCUGGACAAUCUGCAGACAGAUGCAGUGAAAAACUUGUUAUUACUUGGAGAAUCUUCCCUUUCAUAGAUGUGGCUUCAUCCAGAAGCAGAACUGCUGGCUUACGAACUAGAGCACGAGCAAUUGCUAUUCUUUGUUUCUGACCUCCAGAAAGUUGUGCUCCUUUGUCACCCACUCGGCCUGGUUCACAAGGACUAGCAUUACUUUAGGGAGAUUGACACUGCUGCAAUUGAUUCAGUGGGUGUUGAGAGCAGAGUGCUCUCUGAUCGACUCUGGUACUCCACUGGAACAAGAAGAGUAAGAUGACUUUUUCUUAGAAGAAGUCUUUCUGCUUGUAUGCCUUCCGGAUCUCUUAGGAAUGCUUCCUAUCUCAGUGAUUCCUGGCUCUUCAAAACCACCAAGAUCAGUCAGAUUCUCCAUCCUGAAAUCAUCUAGAUACUCUUUCUCAUAGUCUUCAUCUUCUGUCUCUUUAUCGCUUUCUGACAUCUCAUUUUGAGUGAUUCCACCAUGACCCUAGUGACAAGCAAGGAAUAGUGAUACACAGUCACAAGACGGUUUGCAGCAAGGGGAAGGAACAGUAUACUUGGUAUGGAAACAAACAAAAACACCACCACUUUGGUUACAUUGUCACUUUCACAUCGUAGUUUGUAUAGGCCAAGUAUUCUGCCAGUAUAAGUUG